rnacentral:rRNA from 1 species
GCUACAGAAACUUAAAGGAAGUUGGACGGGGAGCACUACGAACGGGUGGAGCCUGCGGUUUUAAUUGGAUUCAACGCCGGAAAUCUCACCGGGGCGACAGCAAUAUGAAGGUCAGGCUGAAGACCUUACCCGAUUAGCUGAGAGGUGGUGCAUGGCCGUCGUCAGUUCGUACUGUGAAGCAUCCUGUUAAGUCAGGCAACGAGCGAGACCCACGUCCACAGUUGCCAGCAUACCCUCCGGGGUGAUGGGUACACUGUGGAGACCGCCGCUGCUAAAGCGGAGGAAGGAGUGGGCAACGGUAGGUCAGUAUGCCCCGAAUCUCCCGGGCUACACGCGGGCUACAAUGGUUGGUACAAUGGGCAUCUACCCCGAAAGGGGAAGGAAAUCUCUUAAAGCCAAUCGUAGUUCGGAUUGAGGGCUGCAACUCGCCCUCAUGAAGCUGGAAUCCGUAGUAAUCGCGUUUCAACAGAACGCGGUGAAUACGUCCCUGCUCCUU